rnacentral:rRNA from 1 species
UACGGAGGAUCCAAGCGUUAUCCGGAUUUAUUGGGUUUAAAGGGUGCGUAGGCGGUUUAUUAAGUCAGGGGUGAAAGACGGCAGCUUAACUAUCGCAGUGCCUUUGAUACUGAUGGGCUUGAAUGUACUUGAGGUAGGCGGAAUGUGACAAGUAGCGGUGAAAUGCAUAGAUAUGUCACAGAACACCAAUUGCGAAGGCAGCUUACUAAAGUAUGAUUGACGCUGAGGCACGAAAGCGUGGGGAUCAAACAGG